AUAUUGUCUAGCUCAUCGCUCUACUCUCAGCACCUGGGCAGUGGGGGUCAUGGGACAAUAUGCCAAAUAUUUGCUGAGGAAUGAAUGAAGGAAUGAAUGGAUGAAUGAGCACCCCCAAACCCACAUAACAUGAAGUUAGGUCUCCUCAUCAGACUAUGCCUCACUUUCCAGAGAUACCCAGAUAAAUCCCCAUCCCCAGUGGGCACAGGAUGCCUCCCAUCUGCUGGCCAGCUCACCUCAGUCCCUCAUGCUACAAUGCCACUCUCAAACAAAACUGGCUGAAAACCACCCUGGCAGGGCCACCCCCUAACUCCAGCCUCCACAUAUUCCUCCAGGUGACCCCACCUGCCUUUCUUGAGGGACAUGCUCCCUUUUCAAGGGCAUUGCCCCCCAAGAUCUCUCCAGCCAGUCAGGGACCCAUGUGAAGUGGGCUCAGGAUCCAUCUGAGAUGAUGAACUGCCUGACCUCCGCAGCACUUACCAACUUUGGGCUCCCUGUUGUCCCUGGAGAGGGAGGAGGAGAUCUGCCAACGUGAGAUCCAGGUAGGCCUCGCCCUAAAGGGCAGGAAAAACAAACAACAUACCAACCUACUACAGCAGGAUGGAAGGUGGGCACAGUGAGGACAAUGGUGCUCUCUGCCAUCUUGUUUCGCAUAGUCCUCGUUGGCAUCUUGCUCCUCUGGGGCCACCCCAGCUCCCAGGGACACCUCCCCGCUGGACCCUGGCCUCUGCCCUUCCUGGGGAACAUUCUGCAAAUGGACCACAAGGGCUUUCUCAAGUCCUUCCAGGUGGAAACGGCCUGUCUGGGCGAGACCUUGGCCCGCUCCAAGCUCUUCCUCUUCUUGACCGUGCUCCAGAGCUUCUCCUUGGGCUCUCCCAAGCCCCUGCAGGACAUCAACCUCACACCCAGGACGAACGGGCAGGGGAGGCUGCCCCCUGUGGUCCAGGUCAGCUUCCUGCCCUGCAGGGAACCGAGACAAGAGAUGCAGAUCCCCUCAGAGUCCUCGAAUCCAGCCCCUAUUUCUACGCAGAAUUCAUGAGUUCGAGUCCCCUGACGCCUUCCUGCUCACUGGUUCAUGUGGAAAGUCCCUUCUGCAGUCUCUCCUCCAUCCAGCCUGCUGCAGUUGCCACUCAUCCCCAGAUGCCCUGAACGGUUGACUGAGGCUUUCAGGGUCGGGAAAUACUUUCAACAACUGAAUGUUACCACUGCUCCGGGCACAGUUAGGAUCACAGAGACCCCAAAGGAAGGAAAGAUUUAGAUCCAAGCCUACCCAGGAUCCCUGCCUCCCUCCCUUGGCCACAUCUGCACUCGGCACCCCUGCCCUCCUCCUCCUUCCUUGAACUGAAGUGGCCAGUGCAGCCCUCAACCUCUGUGCUGUGUGACUCCAGAAUAUCUCCCUACCUCUGAUUUUAUCCUCCCGAGCCAGUGAGAUCAAAACAAGGUCCCACUACUAUUCCUGGACUAAAUGACUCUCUGUGCUGCUGUGCUUUUUUUCUUUCUUCUUUCUUUUUUUUCUUUUGGUAAAAUUCACACAUCAUCAAAUUAAUCAGUAACCAUUUUAAGGAGUACAUUUCAAUGGCAUUCAGGACAACCACAGUACUGUGUAACCAUCGAGUCUAUCUAUUCCAAAAUAUUUUCACUGUCAUUCCUCCAGAAGGAAACUCCAUCCCAUUAAGAUGUCAGUGCCCAAUUCUUGCCUCCCACCGGCCAAGUUUAAAACCCUUGGGAGGGAGGAGUUUCCACUGUGGUACAAGGGGCCUGGUGGCUUCUUGGGAAUUCUGGGCCACAGGUUCUAUCCCCGGCCCAGCAGUAGGUUAAGGAUCUGGAAUUGCCACAGCUGCAGCUUAGGUCUUGACUAUGGCUUGAAUCAGAUCCCUGGCCCCAGGAACUUCAUAUGCUGAGAGGCAGCAAAAAAAGACCAAAAAAAAAAAAAAAAAAAAACAGAAAGAAAGAAAAGAAAAUACUUGGGAGGGAAAGGGAGGACAAGGGGCUGCUGUUCUUGCUGUUCUUUUUUUUUUUUUUUUUUUUUUGUCUUUUUGUCUUUCUGGGGCCACACCCGCAGUAUACCGAGGUUCCCAGGUUAGGGGUCCAAUCGGAGCUGUAGCUGCUGGCCUAUGCCACAGCCACAGCAACGCCUGAUCCAAGCCACGUGUGCGACCUACACCAUAGCUCAUGGCAAUGCUGGAUCCUUAACCCACGGAGCAAAGCCAGGGAUCGAACCCGCAACCUCAUGGUUCCUAGUCAGAUUCAUUUCCGAUGCGCCAUGACGGGAAUUCCUGUUCUUGCUGUUCUUGAUGCUGAGAAGCAGUUGUCUUUCUUCUGUGUGGUGUGGCUGUUUCUCCCAGUCCUGGAGUAAAGCUGACUGCCACAAACCUCUCCCAAGCAUCUGAUGCAAGAGAGGAGAGAGUUGUUAGGAAAGAGAGGAAUGGCACUUGGACAGAGUGAGAAACAAUAUGCAAAAGCUGUUGAGGUGGCAGAAUCACAGAGACCUAGAGAGAGUCAUAUAGAACUCAUUUUCAAAUAAUUGCAACUAUUAAGGAAUAUAUAUAUGUGUGUGUGUAUAUAUAUACAUAUAUAUAUUUUUUUCUUCCCCCUCACUGGAAAAAUUUUGGUGGGGCUCUUGUAAGCCACUGAGGUCAUGCAGUGGAUAUCUUUUCUUUCUGCCCUCACAUCUUCCAUCACUCUUCUUCAGGUAGUUAAUGCUGGGCAUUUUGCUAUCCCCAGUGAUGAAAUAUUGUUGGAGCUGUCAAUCAAGAUUCCCCAUCCAAUAAGCAAUGAGAUCAUGCUGCAUCGCACAGGGAACUAUAUCCGGUCACUUGUGAUGGAACAUGAUGGAGGAUAAUGUGAGAAAAAGGAAAGUCCUAUAUAUAUGACUGGGUUGCUUUGCUGUACAGUAGAAAUUGACAGAACACUGUAAAUCAACUAUAAUGGAUAAAAUAAAAAUCAUACAAUAAAAAAAAAAAAGAUGUCCCAUCCAAGUUUCCCUGAGUCACAUGAGUCAGGUUUGAUCAAUCAAAUUCUCCCUGCCUGGAUUUUGGUUUUGAGUGGAGUGAUGUAAAAGAUGCAAGCCCAAACUCCUUACAUGGUCCAUAAGGCUCUCUACUUCAGAGUCCACCCACUUCUCCAGAGUCAUCUCUUCCCUCAUCCACCCCAUGGGGCUUGUUUCUGUCUCCUGACCCACCAUGCCCUUUCCAGCCUGAGGGCUGCUACACUUGCUGUUCCUGUUGCCUGCAAUGUUCUUCCCCUUGGACUUAGCACCUGGCUUCUUUUUCAUC
rnacentral:lncRNA from 9 species